AAGACAUAUAGCCCACCACCCCUUCUCUGACCAUGAGGUCACGCUGAGGUGUUAAGCUCUGGACUUUUACCCCGCAGAGAUUUCCCUGACCUGGCAGCGUGAUGGGGAGGAACUGACCCAUGACAGGGAGCUGGUGGAGACUAGGCCUUCGGAGAUAGAACCUUCCAGUAGUGGGCAGCUCUGGUGGUGCCUUCUGGAGAGGAGCAGAGAUACACGUGCCAUGUGCAGCACCAGGGCCUGCCAGAGCCUGACAUCCUGAGAUGGGAACCCCUUCCUCAGUCUACCCUCUCCAAGGGCAUCCAAGGGCUGUGGCAGCAGUGACAGUAGUGGGAGCUGUGAUAUACAAGAGGAAGCACUCAGG